rnacentral:rRNA from 1 species
AUUGAACGCUGGCGGCGUGCUUAACACAUGCAAGUCGAUCGGUAACGCGGGGGCAACCCUGGCGACGAGAGGCGGACGGGUGAGGAACGCUUGGGAAUCUGCCUAUCAGCGGGGGACAACACGGGGAAACUCGUGCUAAUACCGCAUACGCUCUACGGAGGAAAGCCGGGGACCGCAAGGCCUGGCACUGAGAGAUGAGCCCAAGCCGGAUUAGCUAGUUGGCGGGGUAACGGCCCACCAAGGCGACGAUCCGUAGCUGGUCUGAGAGGACGAUCAGCCACACUGGGACUGAGACACGGCCCAGACUCCUACGGGAGGCAGCAGUGGGGAAUAUUGGACAAUGGGGGAAACCCUGAUCCAGCGACGCCGCGUGGGUGAAGAAGGCCUGCGGGUUGUAAAGCCCUUUCGGUAGGGACGAAAGCUCUCGACCUAACACGUCGGGAGGUUGACUUAACCUACAAAAGAAGCACCGGCUAACGCGGGGCCAGCCGCCGCCGUAACAC